GCCCUUUUCCGGUUGAUCCUGCCGGAAGUCACUGCUAUCGGUGUUCGACUAAGCCAUGCGAGUCAAAUGUUCUUCGUGAACAUGGCGUACUGCUCAGUAACACGUGGAUAACCUGCCCUUAGGUCUGGCAUAACCCCGGGAAACUGGGGAUAAUUCCGGAUAGAUCAUGGAUGCUGGAAUGCACCGUGAUCCAAAGCUUUUGUGCCUAAGGAUGGGUCUGCGGUCUAUCAGGUCGUAGUGGGUGUAAAGUACCUACUAGCCUACGACGGAUACGGGUUGUGAGAGCAAGAGCCCGGAGAUGGAUUCUGAGACAUGAAUCCAGGCCCUACGGGGCGCAGCAGGCGCGAAAACUUUACACUGCGGGAAACCGCGAUAAGGGAACACCGAGUGCCAGCAUCCUAUGUUGGCUGUCCACAUGUGUAAAUAACAUGUGUUAGCAAGGGCCGGGCAAGACCGGUGCCAGCCGCCGCGGUAACACCGGCGGCCCGAGUGGUGGCCACUAUUAUUGGGUCUAAAGGGUCCGUAGCCGGUUUGGUCAGUCUUCCGGGAAAUCUGACGGCUUAACCGUUAGGCUUCCGGGGGAUACUGCCAGACUUGGGACCGGGAGAGGUAAGAGGUACUACGGGGGUAGGAGUGAAAUCUUGUAAUCCCUGUGGGACCACCAGUGGCGAAGGCGUCUUACCAGAACGGGUCCGACGGUGAGGGACGAAAGCUGGGGGCACGAACCGGAUUAGAUACCCGGGUAGUCCCAGCCGUAAACUAUGCUCGCUAGGUGUCAGGGACGGUGCGACCGUUUCUGGUGCCGCAGGGAAGCCGUGAAGCGAGCCACCUGG
rnacentral:rRNA from 1 species